UCAAGAUGUCGGAGAACCACCUCGGUUUCAUCUUUGGUUAUCUAGCUGUAUGAUAGACUUUGGACUUCAUAAAGCUAGGUUACCAAAGUUAAAAAUGGAGGUGCACACAACUUGCUCGGAC
rnacentral:precursor_RNA from 9 species